AGAGUUUGAUCCUGGCUCAGAACGAACGCUGGUAGCGUGGAUUAGGCAUGCAAGUCGAACGGGAUCACGAGGAUAGCAAUAUUCUUGUGUGAGAGUGGCGGAUUGGGGAGGAACACGUGAACAACCUGCCCUUGAGUUCGGGAAAACCAUUGGAAACGAUGGCUAAUACCGGAUGUGGCGUCGGUGGACAUCCACUGAACGCUAAAGGGGGCCGCAAGGCUCCCGCUCAUCGAGGGGUUCGCGCACCAUCAGCUUGUUGGCGGGGUAACGGCCCACCAAGGCCUACGGUUAGCUGGUCUGAGAGGAUGACCAGCCCCACUGGGACUGAGAUACUGCCCAGACUCCUACGGGAGGCUGCAGUCGAGGAUCAUUUGCAAUGGGCGAAAGCCUGACAAUGCGACGCUGCGUGGAGGAUGAAGGCCUUCGGGUUGUAAACUCCUGUCAUAGGGGAACAGGCGAUCUUACCUAAUACGUAAGCGAGUUGAGUGUACCCUAAGAGGAAUUGGCGGCUAACUCUGUGCCAGCAGCCGCGGUAAUACAGAGGCCAAGAGCGUUGUUCGGAUUUACUGGGCGUAAAGGGCGCGUAGGCGGUCUUGCGUGUCAAGUGUGAAAUCUCCGGGCCCAACCCGGAAAGUGCGCUUGAAACUACAGGACUCGAGUCUGGGAGAGGGAAUCGGAAUGCAGGGUGUAGCGGUGAAAUGCGUUGAUAUCCUAUAGAACACCGGAGGCGAAGGCGGAUUCCUUGAACAGUACUGACGCUGAGGCGCGAAAGUCGGGGGAGCAAACAGGAUUAGAUACCCUGGUAGUCCCGACCUUAAACGGUGCAC
rnacentral:rRNA from 1 species